UUUUUAUUUUCAAAAUGAACUUCUUUCGAUAAAGGGAAAGGUAAUAGAUAACGUAGUUCAUUAAUAGGUACAGACAGCAUUCAAGGCCCCUGUUGAUCCUACUCGUGCGAAUAGUAUAUAUGACAUUAUUAUUUAAUAAAACUUUGGCCUCAAAAUCAAUAUAGCCAAGACAGAGGUCCAGGACAUCAGCAAGCGGCAGCAGUACAUUAACAUCAGCAUAGGUGAAACCGAACUGCUACAGGUGGAAAUAGUUGUUUACCUGGGAGUUACCAUCACUCAAUCAGGAAAAUGCACGGAGGACAUACAGAAUAGGAUUGGAAAAGCCAUAUGUGCUGUUCAAAAUCUUCACAGCAUAUUGACAGCAAAAGAAAUUAGAGGUGCAUCAAAGCUUAAACUACUGGAUUGAUUGCAUAAAGGCUGAUUGUGCUACCAGAUGUCUAGGAUCCCUAACAGAAACGACCAGAACAUCACAAGAUAAGAAGAUCUGGCUGGAGGUCAUGAAGCAGAAGCCAUCACACAUCUCCCAGAUGGUGUGGAAGGCUUAGGUCAAGACCGCAGCCGGAGAAAUAUUUUGAGAAUGGUGAUCAGUUUUCUGAGGUCAUGAAGCGCAGACACAGUGGAGAGAUAAACAUCGAUGACAGAUCUCAUUCCAAGUCGCUUCCUGAGCAUCACGGGGACUACUCGACCUCUUUUAAAUCACCUUGAUCAGUGAUCAUCCAACAAAUUCAACGAAAGAUAGAGAGGAGAGAAGGGAGGAAGAGAGAUCAAGAGAGAAAGAGAGAGAGAGAGGGGGGCAGAAAGUAUGAUGAUGUGAGUGGGGAGAGAGUGUGGGUUAGAGAGUGGGUUUAAGGAUGGUACGUGCGUGUGUGUGCUAAAGUGUGUGCGUAUAUACUCAAUUUAUUAUUUGGGUCCAGCAUGACCAGGUCCUCAUGGUCAUUGCAUAUGACCGAUUUUGUGUUGUCCAACGAAUUAUCAUAACCCUCCACCUUCGUCGGACCCCACGGGCUUUGAUCAUUGGGCUAUCCAUGAACUUACUAAAAAUAUAUGGGGUAUGAUGAAGGAUUAUUUAGCCUUCAAGAUUCCUUCACAUCAGGAGUCAGCUGAAAGGGCGUUGUAGUUAAACUGACAUAAACGUCACAACGAGAUUGUCUGCAAAACAUAGCGCUAUGAGUAGAAGAAAAUGUUUACUGUGUUUAUGUUCUGAAAGCAUACUGGCUUAUCGCUGGAACAACACAUUUGUUUUUGUAAUGGUGAAAUAUGUAAAAUAGUUGUUGAUUGAGUACCAUAUCAACAAUCAUAUAUGAAAUCAAAUACACAAACUGAUGGAGAAGCACAAUGACGGGAAAGAGUUUAUUUUCACCGCACGCAAAGACGGGUGAACUUUAUGGUCUUUAUUCUGCUAAUUCAGUAAUACAAUGGAUAUAGUAUAGACAUUUAGUAAAAUGUUAGCCUAUAUGCUUAAUUUUACCAUCGAUAAUAUUACGAACCACUCUUUUGUGUUAGUGCAUUAAUAUAAUUCUACACGAAGUGACGAACAAUCACAGGAAGUAAAGAGAAUCUAUAUUUAAGA
rnacentral:lncRNA from 1 species